rnacentral:rRNA from 1 species
CAGUAGCCGCGGUAAUACGAAGGGGGCUAGCGUUGUUCGGAUUUACUGGGCGUAAAGCGCACGUAGGCGGACUUUUAAGUCAGGGGUGAAAUCCCGGGGCUCAACCCCGGAACUGCCUUUGAUACUGGAAGUCUUGAGUAUGGUAGAGGUGAGUGGAAUUCCGAGUGUAGAGGUGAAAUUCGUAGAUAUUCGGAGGAACACCAGUGGCGAAGGCGGCUCACUGGACCAUUACUGACGCUGAGGUGCGAAAGCGUGGGGAGCAAACAGGAUUAGAUACCCCCGUAGUCCCUGUCUCUUAUAC